GACGAACGCUGGCGGCGUGCUUAACACAUGCAAGUCGAACGGAAAGGCCCUGCUUGCAGGGUACUCGAGUGGCGAACGGGUGAGUAACACGUGGGUGAUCUGCCCUGCACUUCGGGAUAAGCCUGGGAAACUGGGUCUAAUACCGGAUAGGAGCCAUUUUUAGUGUGAAGGUUGGAAAGUUUUUUCGGUGUAGGAUGAGCUCGCGGCCUAUCAGCUUGUUGGUGGGGUAAUGGCCUACCAAGGCGGCGACGGGUAGCCGGCCUGAGAGGGUGGACGGCCACAUUUGGACUGAGAUACGGCCCAGACUCCUACGGGAGGCAGCAGUGGGGAAUAUUGCACAAUGGGCGCAAGCCUGAUGCAGCGACGCCGCGUGGGGGAUGACGGCCUUCGGGUUGUAAACUCCUUUCGCUAGGGACGAAGCUUUUUGUGACGGUACCUAGAUAAGAAGCACCGGCUAACUACGUG
rnacentral:rRNA from 1 species